rnacentral:rRNA from 1 species
UACGAAGGGGGCUAGCGUUGUUCGGAGUUACUGGGCGUAAAGGGCGCGUAGGCGGCCUUGUCAGUCAGGCGUGAAAGCCCCGGGCUCAACCUGGGAACGGCGCUUGGGACGGCGAGGCUGGAGUUCGGGAGAGGAGAGUGGAAUUCCCAGUGUAGAGGUGAAAUUCGUAGAUAUUGGGAAGAACACCGGUGGCGAAGGCGGCUCUCUGGACCGACACUGACGCUGAGGCGCGAAGGCGUGGGGAGCAAACAGG